CUUUGGGUAUGUAAUUCUUCCUCAUUUGUUUUAUCUAUUGGAUUUGAUUUUAAAUGACGGGCUUUUUUCGAUAGUCGUUCGAAAUCAAGAAAGGUGUGUGUAUAUGGGCUCUGUUCGAAGUCAUAGAAUGAUUUUGAAUAGGUGUAGAUCCCAGAAUUAUACAUGGUGUUUAAUGUAACAAUCUCUAUAAAAGCAAAAAUAUCUCACGGACGAUAUGAAUGUUGAAACUGCAGUACACGCUAAUAAAAGUUUCAGUUAUCUUACCAUCUUCAAGAAUCAUAAUGGACUGACCAGUGAUUCAGAGGCAUCUAUUAAGCGACGCUAUGGACCAGUUCAAUCGUUCACAUCUUACACCAAAGAGUUCUAUAAAGUCAAAAUCGACGGUUGAAAAAUUAAAUUGGCUCCUAUUUGUGUCGUUUUUUGAUUUGAUCAAGAUCAAGUUGUCAGACAUAAAGAGUUACAAAACUCCAGGUUUGCAUAAUCUGGGGAAUUUGUAUUCAAUUUUGUUCAAAGUUUCAUGUAUUUGGUUGUUUCUUAAUCCGUAACUCUAUCAAUCACAUUCGAAAGUUGUUUAUCUUCCUCAUUUGUUUUAUUCAGUUAACAAAUCUAUAGGGUUUGAUUUCAUCUAA